rnacentral:pre_miRNA from 1 species
CGAUCUGAACCCGUAGAUCCGAACUUGUGUAACUGUGGGUCACAAGCUCGAUUCUAUGGAUCUAGGUAGC